ACCGUUCUCAAUCAAUAUUAAGUGUGAUAGUGCCGAAGCACACUCUGACCAGAGUCCCAUUCAGGAAGCAGCACAGGUCUCUACAGUUCCCAGACAUGAAGGCCACCAAACACAAUUGUACAUAUAUACCCUAGUUACCUCUACUAGACAAUAAAACAUUCAUACAAAAUAUAUAUAUCUAUACAUACAUACAUACACACACA